ensembl:miRNA MIR3155B microRNA 3155b
CCACUGCAGAGCCUGGGAAGGGAGCUGUCCGGCUCCCCAGGCUCUGCAGUGGGAGG